rnacentral:rRNA from 1 species
GACCUCAGAUCAGGCGAGAUUACCCGCUGAAUUUAAGCUAUUAAUAAGCGGAGGAAAAGAAAACUAACA